CCCACCAGGCUCCUCCAUCCAUGGGAUUUUCCAGGCAAGAGUACUGGAGUGGGGUGCCAUUGCCUUCUCCGUCUGCUUACUUAGUAGGUACUUAAAUAAUUCUUGCUGUAUGAAUGAACCAGAUAACCUCUUGGGUCCGUCUUUCCUCUGAAAUUCCUUGAGGAUGAAAAGCCUAGAACAACCAGGGGUUAGAUACUCCACGCUUCUUUGAUGCAGCUGCAUCUGGAACCUGAAAUCGCUUCUCGGCUGGAAGAUGGUGUUGAACACUAAUUGGCCGCAGCUGCUUUAUUGGCAAAGGGACGAAAACACACACAGGUCACUUCAAAGUUCGACUUGGUCUCACCCCCAAUUCAGUGUCAGUCAUUUGUGUGGCUCUUGUAAGGUCCCAAAGCAUUGGGCAUGGGAUUUAAGCUGGAGGAUUUCAAGUAUAGCCACCAAAUCUAUUAAGCAGAGGAAUUCUCCUAACAGGAUCCUACAGCUGCUGUCUUCGUUUUCAGAUGCAUAAUGUUACCUUGUAUUUGUAUUUCUUCCAAGCACUUUAUAUCAACACUCCAAUAGGGGAAAUAGUGAUGUCUUUAUGUUGAGGAUAGAGAAACCAAAGAAUAGUUAAGUACCUACUAAGGUGAACCUGUUUCGUAACAGUGCAGCAACAGUAAUCCAAUGCUGCAUAAAUGAGAAAUUGGGUCAACUGAGUGCCAUUCUAAGGGUGUUUGUUUUUUUGCUAGAAUGCUUUUCUGAAACAGGACAUCUGGUACCUACUUGGUGGUUCCUGUUGUUGGAACAGGAUUAAAGCCUUAUGUGGUUCCAAAAAAGAAGCAAAAAACGCAAUAGCAGGUCUCUUUCUCCUUGGGCAACAUAACAAGCUGAGAUUUUAAUGAUGGAGUGACCCAGACCUUCACACCUGAGGAGUCUGAGCCUUCACUGAUUCUGCAUGCUAUUUCAUUAAGUUUUGUAGUUGGACUUGGCAGAACCAGAUGUGUUCUAGAGGAUUUCCUGAGUUGAUGAUUCUCCUUGCCUCCAGUGUUCAUGCCUCCAGUUGAAGAGGUGACAGGGGUCUGCCAUCCCAUCCUCUGAUUGCUUCUUGAGAGUCUGUACCAUUUUCUCCAGAGAGGAAUUUUGAACCAGCCUUCGGUGCCUUGUCAUUUCAUCUGCACUAAAUCUCGCAGAAAGACGCUGCUAUUUCUGACAAUGGAAAUGAUAACCCUUCUGUGGUCCUUUAACUGAUGCAGAUUAGUGUCUAUUUUUAUAUUCCUUUGGUCAUUUCAGAAGACAUGUAGCAGGAUGAAAAUUAGACCCCUGGACUCUAGUCGUCAGCUAUCACAGUAUUCCCAAGCAUAAGCAGAACCUUCAUUUUGUUUUAAUCACUUGACUGCAUUGAUACUUAAUAGCUAGUAUGAUACUUAAAAUUCAGAGAGACAAAGGUGGAGAAAAGAUCUUUCAACAUAAGCUUCAUUGUCUGACUCAUUUCUGUAUUGUUUAUAAAUUUUGGCUCAAAUAGCCUCCCUAGUUCUCUAUAUGUUAAUAUAUGAAAUUCCCUCUUUCUGCAGUUAAUGUAAUACAGCUCUAAUCCUUAUGCAAUGAUUCUAGCAUAGGCUUCUUUCCAGUCCUCUGGAGUUAUUUAUAUGCAAUUUUCAAACAGAGAUGAUCUUUCCUAUAUGCACUAAUAAUAUUUACAUUUUUAAAUGGAACACAGACACAAAGUUGAGGUAAAAGGUUAUGAGGUCAAAGAAACACAGAGAUUAGAUCUUUAAUCAGGGCAGACUGUUACAUACUGAAAAUAGCAAUAUCACAUUUUUGCAAAUUUCAUGCUCUCGUUGGAGACAUAGGUGCCUAACUGAAAGAGGAUUUCUUUUUUUAAAAAACAACUAUGUUCAUUAAUAACUAUUAAGUAACCUGGAUGUAAGUCAGUGGCUAUUAGGAUAAAAAUGCAUACAUCUGAACAAUUCCAAACAAUGAAGUCUAAAACAUUACGUGAAAUAGAUGGAGAUGAUGGAAUAAUAUUUCAAACGAACAAUGAUAGCAAAGCAAUGUCGAAUCAUAACUAAUAGAACUGGUUUUUCAAGGGGUGAAAUUAACUAUUUUCAAGAAAUCUAAAUAGUGAACGAUUAUUUUAAUGGUGUGGUAUACAACUCUUGAUGAAUUAAAAAUUUUAAAAACUCAAGACAUAGUGGAGGAACACAGAACUGAAGCAAGAUAUGAAAGUAAAAAGCAGACUAACUGAAAAAUGUCCUUACUUUUCCUUGGUUCUCUGGACUCAUCCCUCCAGAGAAUGAGUUUCAUGAAAGAGCAGUCUUUAGACCUCCCAUUAGCUUGCAGGGGUCUUUUUGCCUUUUUACAUUAGAAUAAGGUUCUUGGUGGAAUGGCUGACACUUUGUGCUCUCAACUGUAUGAAGUUAGAUCUUUUGUAGAGAUGAUGAAUAGCUCCUUCAGUGUCUAACAGAAAGUUUCCUAUCGUUUAUCUCAAGUGGUUGAGGUUUAUACCAUGGACGUGGAGCAUUUGACACAUAAUGUUCCUUUCUUUUACACAUUGACUCUUGUUGCAGAGUCUCAUGCCUCGUAAUCUGGAUAUAAAAUAUAUUUAUAAUUUACCCUCAGAAAGGGUGACAGCUUCCACAUUCAACCUCUAAAUCUGAGGAAUGUUGGUCUACCAAUGUAUGUGCUAGAUCAGAGGUCAGCAAAAUUUUUCUUUAAAUGGACAGACAAUAAAUAUUUUAGGAUUUUCAGGCCUUAUGGUUUCUGUUGCAGCUACUCAUUUCUACCCUUGUAAAGUGAAUGCAGCCAUAGAAAAGCUAAAGACAAAUCCCAUGGCCGUGUCCUGAUCAAACUGUAUUUACCAAAACAGGUAACAAGACUGUGGACCUUAGUUUUCAUUCCCAGUACUAGUUAAGUCAAUUUUCAGGUAAUGAAAUAAUAGCUUGGCCUUUUAUCUUUUGCAGUAAAAUGUUAAAUAGGGGUAUGUUUUGUUUCUUACUUCUCUAAGCCAAGUAUAUGAUAUACAACUCCUAUACCUUUUUUUUUUGCAUGUGUGUCAGUUAUAUGUAUAAAUCUUAAAUUAUAUUUAAACUUUUAUGGAUGACUCUUUCAUAGUCAAAAGAACUAUUUUAUAAAUAUAUGCUUUCUAACAUCAUAGCUGUUUCAAGGAACUCACAUCUGUACCUUUUAUUUUUAUUGAAUUUACAUAAUAAACAGGACAAAGGGGAAGACAAAAAUGCUUUUUUUAACCUUAAAAAGGAAUGGCCCUGGAUGAAUAUAAUAGCUCAUCUCAAACCAGCCUAAUAUGAAAAAGAAAACAAAAGUUUUGAAUAAGAACUGCUUUGAUCAGAUUUCAUCCAAUACAAACCAACAACAUAUAAGUUAAAGCAUUCAGACAGGCAGAAGAGUAAUGAAGAAUAUAUAACUUUUCAAAAUGAGGUUAGUCCAAUUCCAUACAUCUAAAGUAUGAAUAAAUUCCAUUUGGAACUCUCAAUAGUGGUACUGUAUAUUAGAGAAGAAAAGAGGCAGCUUCAGGCUGUUUUUCAUAAUUUUUCCAAUUCAUUGUUUUAAUGAAAUAGAAGAGUUUGAUGGGACUAAAAAAAAGAAGAAGCAGCCCUCUCUGAUGAGCUUUGCAUUUGCAAAUAGUACCUGCCACCUGAAUGAAGUACAGUACUUUGAAUGAUGGUGAUGUUGUCAGGGAUGCAUUUUAAAUCAAUGUAACUGUAAAAGACGACAAGAUCUUUUCUUCAUUUCACAUUACUGUAUUUACCAUUUCUUUCUUGGCCUUUUCCUGG